rnacentral:rRNA from 1 species
CGACUGUUUACCAAAAACAUAGCCCUAGUUAUAAUCUAAGGUGUAACCUGCCCAAUGAUUUUUAACAAAUAUAUUUAAAUUAUAUAAAAAAAAAUUUAAAGGACGCGGUAACCUUGACCGUGAUAAUGUAGCAUAAUCAUUUGCCAUUUAAUUGAUGGAUAGUAUGAAUGGUUGAACGAAUAUUUCACUGUCUUAAAAAGAAAUCCCCAAAAAUUAGAAUAAUAGUAAAGAUACUAUUUAAAAUUGUAAGACGAAAAGACCCUAUAGAGCUUAACUAUAAUCUUUAUAAAAAUAUUUAAUAUCAUUAUUCGAAUAUAAAGACUGGUAGUUUAGUUGGGGCGACUAUCUUUUAAAAACAACAAAGAUAAGCAAAAUAAAUAAUUAUUUAUUUAUUGUAUAACUAAUAAGUUUAACAAUUACAAAAGUAGGCUAUAAUGACCCGUUAUAAUUUUAUAAAAAAAAUAACGAUCAAUAAAUAAAAGCUACCUUAGGGAUAACAGGAUAAUUUUAUUCUAGAGACCUAAUCGAAAAUAAAGUUUGUCACCUCUAUGUUGAAUUAAGAUAACCUGAUAAUGCAGCAGUUAUCGAAGGUAGGUCUGUUCGACCUUUAAAAUCUUACAUGAUUUGAGUUCAUUC